rnacentral:rRNA from 1 species
AUGCUCGAAGAUCUCGAAAUGAUCUUCCAGUUCCGGGGAGAAUUCGCAAAACUCCGUUUCCAUAAAGAAUUUGAUGGAGUUUUCCCGUAUUUCGACCGGAGAAUCCAACAUAGACAUUACUGUAAAGAUUCUGACCAAAAAAUGGUACAUUCCAUGCCCUCGGAGAACGCUUUGUCAUGCAAAGUCACUGACAUAUCCAGUGUCUUUUUCGGACCCCAAGAAUGGAUUGGAUCGAAACGACUUUCCUGCUUGAAAAUAGGGGCCCCUUUGUGUCUGUAUGAAUCUCUGACCGCACAAAAUCUCCAUAGCCAAUUUUCCAAAUUGGAUUCUGAAAUCAGAGGUAGCUUUUGGUACUAA